ensembl:lncRNA
AAGAGGAUGGCGACGGUUGGCCGGUUAGUCUGUGAAUGGACAGCAGGCGGCAGAGCGAAGUGACGGAAGUGAAAUGAGAACAGGAGUAGAUGGCGGGAAAGAUGAUGUAGAGGUGAAAUAAGAUAAAAACAAAGCGGAAAAGGAGAACAACAAGCAGAGUGAAAGUAAACCUGUAAUGUGGAGGAAACGGACAGUGAGCGCAGUGUAACCGUGACAAGGAGACACGAGGACGGAUUUAAAGUGAUCAUAAAAUCGUCUCCAGACGGUCGUCGUUCGUCCAGUAGGCGGGAUUAAUGCACCUGUAAGCUGAUUUGUCAAAUGCCAUCAAGGCCUGAAGAAGAACGGAGGAGGACAGCACUACUGUGGUAGAGGAGCGGUGUGUGUGCAGACAUGGCUGCUGUUGAUGAAGCGGACUGAACUUAGAGGAGAGACACAAACUAAAGUAUCCAUCCCCUCACGUCAGUGUGGAUCUGACACCAACGUCUGUAUCACUUCAUCGAUGCUUGUAUCGAUCCGCUCAGCCUGAGUUGAAGCAGCAAUGAGUUCAGUUCAGUAUCUGAGAGAGUUCAUCAAGGAGAGACUAACUGCUGUUUGUGAAGAAAUCUUCUCAGAGGUUCAAAAAACCAUCGUCCAGUAUGAGGAGGAGAUCAACCGUCUGCACAGACUGCUGGAUAUCAGCCGGAAACCCAACAUAAACUUACACAUCACAGAUCUACCACAACAUCAUGACUGUAAGGAAGAGGAGGGUCUGGAUGAGCAGCAGGUCUGUAACCAGGAGAGGAACUCCAGUGUGGACCAGGAGGACCCAGAGCCUCCACAGAUUAAAGAGGAACAGGAGGAACCCUGCAGCAGUCAGGAGGAGAACAGCUUGGACUGAAGCAGGAGACUGAAGGCAUUAUUGUCUGGACUGAUGAAGAGCAGCUCAGAGUGAUGGAGACCAUCUGAAAACCUGUGAUAAAGUUACACAGAAUAGGUAUGUAAAACUGUGAUGUCUUAAUAACACUGAAUAUGACUCACGGGUCUUAAGCAGGUGAUUAAGCUGCUUCCACAUCCUGCAAGAAGCAACCGGGACAGGUAGGAUGGACCUUGUCGCUUCACAAGUUGUCGUUUUAAUCCUACAUCCAAAAAAAUCUAAUAAAGAAUUCAUAAGAAC